rnacentral:rRNA from 1 species
GUCCACGCCGUAAACUAUGCGUGUUGGACGUUGGCCAGCCUAGCUGGUCGGUGUCGCAGCUAACGCGUUAAACACGCCGCCUGGGGAGUACGGCCGCAAGGUUAAAACUCAAAGGAAUUGACGGGGGCCCGCACAAGCGGUGGAGCAUGUGGUUUAAUUCGAUGCAACGCGAAGAACCUUACCAGGCCUUGACAUGGGGGUUUUGGGUCGGAGAAAUCCGACCCUUCAGUUCGGCUGGGCCCCACACAGGUGCUGCAUGGCUGUCGU